CAUUCUGAGCAGCUGUCACCCUGCGAUUGGCUUGCUCGGGGACAGCCCUGUGUGAGCUGCUAGUAUGGGCUCUGGCAGUCGCUGCUGUGCCUCUCCCCUGGUUCAUAACCUGCUCCAGGCUCAGACUCAGCAACAGAACCUAGUCCCUGGGUCCCUGGUUUACACCUAGAAUAUGAGACAGAUGACAAGAGUGACUGUGCUCCUGAUCUUGGGUACUUUGAGCCUCGCUAAGACCAUCCAGCCCGUCUUCAUUGACUCAUAUGAAGGACAAGAAGUGAAUAUACCUUGUAACCACACCAACAUUGCUACAAAUGAAUAUAUCUUCUGGUACCGACAGUUCCCCAACCAAGGACCACAGUUUGUCAUUCAAGGGUAUAAGACAAAUGCAGCAAAUGAGGUGGCAUCUCUGUUCAUCCCUACCGACAGGAAGUCCAGCACCCUGAGCCUGCCCUGGGCUACCCUGAGAGACACCGCUGUGUACUACUGCAUCGUGAGUGACACACAGUGAGACAGAGGGGGCUGCACCUGUGCAACAUCCCCCUUGGGGUGAGUCACAGCCCAGGGGACCCCCAAAGUAGCACUCUUACAACGUUUACUUAUUAUUUUCAGAAGGUAUUAGCAA